CCAUCGGAUGUGCCCAGAUGGGAUUAGCUAGUAGGUGGGGUAAUGGCUCACCUAGGCGACGAUCCCUAGCUGGUCUGAGAGGAUGACCAGCCACACUGGAACUGAGACACGGUCCAGACUCCUACGGGAGGCAGCAGUGGGGAAUAUUGCACAAUGGGCGCAAGCCUGAUGCAGCCAUGCCGCGUGUGUGAAGAAGGCCUUAGGGUUGUAAAGCACUUUCAGCGAGGAGGAAGGGUUCGGGGUUAAUAGCACUGAGGAUUGACGUUACUCGCAGAAGAAGCACCGGCUAACUCCGUGCCAGCAGCCGCGGUAAUACGGAGGGUGCAAGCGUUAAUCGGAAUUWCUGGGCGUAAAGCGCMCGCAGGCGGUUUGUUAAGUCAGAUGUGAAAUCCCCGAGCUUAACYUGGGAACUGCAUUUGAAACUGGCMAGCUAGAGUYUUGUAGAGGGGGGUAGAAUUYCAGGUGUAGCGGUGAAAUGCGUAGAGAUYUGGAGGAAUACCGGUGGCGAAGGCGGCCCCCUGGACAAAGRMUGACGCUCAGGUGCGAAAGCGUGGGGAGCAAACAGGAUUAGAUWCCCUGGUAGUYCMCGCYGUAAACGAUGUYGACUUGGAGGUUGUKCCCUUGAGGRGUGGCUUCCGGAGCUAACGCGUUAAGUYGACCGCCUGGGGAGUACGGCCGCAAGGUUAAAACUCAAAUGAAUUGACGGGGGCCCGCACAAGCGGUGGAGCAUGUGGUUUAAUUUGAUGCAACGCGAAGAACCUUACCUACUUUUGACAUCCAGAGAAUUCGCUAGAGAUAGCUUAGUGCCUUUGGGAACUUUGAGACAGGUGCUGCAUGGCUGUUGUCAACUUGUGUUGUGAAAAGUUGGGUUAAAUCCCGCAACGAGCGCAACCCUUAUCCUUUGUUGCCAGCGAGUAAUGUCGGGAACUCAAAGGAGACU
rnacentral:rRNA from 1 species